GACGAACGCUGGCGGCGUGCUUAACACAUGCAAGUCGAGCGGUAAGGCCCUUUCGGGGGUACACGAGCGGCGAACGGGUGAGUAACACGUGGGUGACCUGCCCUCAGCUCUGGGAUAAGCCUGGGAAACUGGGUCUAAUACUGGAUAUGACUCCACGGUGCAUGUCGUGGGGUGGAAAGCCUUGUGCGGCUGAGGAUGGGCCCGCGGCCUAUCAGCUUGUUGGGGGGUGAUGGCCUACCAAGGCGACGACGGGUAGCCGGCCUGAGAGGGCGACCGGCCACACUGGGACUGAGACACGGCCCAGACUCCUACGGGAGGCAGCAGUGGGGAAUCUUGCGCAAUGGGCGAAAGCCUGACGCAGCGACGCCGCGUGAGGGAUGACGGCCU
rnacentral:rRNA from 1 species